rnacentral:rRNA from 1 species
UGGGAGCUUGCUCCCUGAAGUCAGCGGCGGACGGGUGAGUAACACGUGGGCAACCUGCCUGUAAGACUGGGAUAACUCCGGGAAACCGGGGCUAAUACCGGAUAACUCUUUUCCUCACAUGAGGAAAAGCUGAAAGUCGGCAUCUCGCUGACACUUACAGAUGGGCCCGCGGCGCAUUAGCUAGUUGGCGAGGUAACGGCUCACCAAGGCGACGAUGCGUAGCCGACCUGAGAGGGUGAUCGGCCACACUGGGACUGAGACACGGCCCAGACUCCUACGGGAGGCAGCAGUAGGGAAUCUUCCGCAAUGGACGAAAGUCUGACGGAGCAACGCCGCGUGAGCGAUGAAGGCCUUCGGGUCGUAAAGCUCUGUUGUUAGGGAAGAACAAGUGCCGUUCGAAUAGGGCGGCACCUUGACGGUACCUAACCAGAAAGCCACGGCUAACUACGUGCCAGCAGCCGCGGUAAUACGUAGGUGGCAAGCGUUGUCCGGAAUUAUUGGGCGUAAAGCGCGCGCAGGUGGUUUCUUAAGUCUGAUGUGAAAGCCCACGGCUCAACCGUGGAGGGUCAUUGGAAACUGGGGAACUUGAGUGCAGAGGAGGAAAGUGGAAUUCCAAGUGUAGCGGUGAAAUGCGUAGAUAUUUGGAGGAACACCAGUGGCGAAGGCGACUUUCUGGUCUGUAACUGACACUGAGGCGCGAAAGCGUGGGGGAGCAAACAGGAUUAGAUACCCUGGUAGUCCACGCCGUAAACGAUGAGUGCUAAGUGUUAGAGGGUUUCCGCCCUUUAGUGCUGC